rnacentral:tRNA from 1 species
GCUGGGAUAGCUCAGUCGGUAGAGCCUGAGACUCUUAAUCUCAGGUUCAUGGAUUCGAGCCCCACGUUGGGCA